rnacentral:rRNA from 1 species
UACGUAGGCAGCAAGCGUUGUUCGGAAUUACUGGGCGUAAAGAGUGUGUAGGCGGUGCACUAAGUUUGUCGUGAAAUCUCCCGGCUUAACUGGGAGGGUGCGGCGAAUACUGGUGUGCUCGAGGGUGGGAGAGGUAAGCGGAAUUCCUGGUGUAGCGGUGAAAUGCGUAGAUAUCAGGAGGAACACCUGCGGUGUAGACAGCUUACUGGACCAUUUCUGACGCUGAGACACGAAAGCGUGGGUAGCAAACAGG